rnacentral:rRNA from 1 species
AUGGCUUCCCUCCUCACGCUCCCGUCCCUCUCCCUCUCCAGCCCCAGCGGCGGCGGCACCGCCGGGCUCGCGCCCGCGCUCCGGCUCCGCGCCGCCUUCCGCUGCUGGGCGCUCGGCCGCAGGUGGGCGGGCGCCGCCGCGGCCAUCGCGUCGCCCAACUCCGUGCUCAGCGAGCACGCCUUCAAGCGCCUCGGGCUCGGCGGCGGCAGCGACGACGAGGAUGAGGAAGGGUACGGGAGCGACCAGGAGGGGCCCGCCGUGGAGGGGCUGCAGCAGGGGGACGCGGAUGAGCUCGCCAUUUCCAGGCUCGGCCUCCCCGCCCAGCUGGUCGCCACCCUCGAGAAGCGCGGAAUUACCCAUCUCUUCCCCAUCCAGAGGGCUGUAUUGAUUCCAGCACUUGAGGGCCGUGACCUGAUUGCAAGAGCAAAGACUGGAACUGGAAAGACGUUAGCCUUUGGUAUACCCAUGAUCAAGCAAAUAAUCGAGCAGGACGAAGGGCGCACCCCUGGGCGAGGUCGUAUUCCUCGAGCUUUGGUCCUUGCACCCACUAGAGAACUGGCUAAACAAGUUGAGAAGGAAAUUAUGGAAUCAGCACCAAAGCUUAGUACAGUGUGUGUUUAUGGUGGUGUCUCGUAUAAUACCCAGCAGAAUGCACUCUCCCGUGGUGUUGAUGUUGUCGUAGGAACUCCAGGUCGCCUAAUUGAUUUGAUAAACGGUGGAAGUCUUCAGUUGGGAGAAGUUAGGUAUCUUGUCCUUGAUGAGGCUGACCAGAUGCUUGCAGUUGGGUUUGAGGAAGAUGUGGAAACAAUAUUGCAACAGCUGCCAGCCGAACGACAAAGCAUGCUUUUCUCUGCGACCAUGCCUAGUUGGGUGAAGAAAUUGUCUAGGCGGUACUUGGAUAAUCCUUUGACAAUUGAUUUGGUUGGCGAUCAAGAUGAAAAACUAGCUGAAGGAAUCAAACUCUUUGCUAUUCCACUCACAACGACUUCAAAGCGCACCAUUCUUAGUGAUCUCAUUACGGUAUAUGCAAAGGGUGGGAAAACUAUUGUUUUCACUCGGACAAAACGGGAUGCAGACGAGGUAUCAUUGGCAUUGACAACCAGUAUUGCAUCUGAGGCGCUUCACGGUGAUAUUUCACAACAUCAGCGUGAGAGGACAUUAAAUGGUUUCCGCCAAGGGAAAUUUACUGUUCUUGUGGCAACUGAUGUUGCUUCUCGUGGUCUUGAUAUACCCAAUGUUGAUUUGAUUAUUCAUUAUGAGUUGCCAAAUGACCCUGAGACUUUUGUUCAUCGUUCUGGGCGCACUGGACGAGCAGGGAAAGCAGGGAAUGCAAUCUUAAUGUUUACAACCAACCAGCGAAGGACAGUUAAAUCACUUGAACGUGAUGUUGGAUGCAAAUUUGAAUUUAUUGGCCCACCUACAAUGGAAGAAGUCCUUGAUUCAUCUGCAGAGCAUGUCAUUGCUACUCUGCGAGGUGUGCACCCUGAGUCGAUUCAAUACUUUGUUCCAGCGGCUGAGAGACUAAGCCAAGAACUAGGACCUACCGCCCUUGCUUCUGCAUUGGCACAUCUGAGUGGAUUUUCUCAGCCACCUUCUUCACGUUCCCUGAUUAGCCAUGAGCAGGGAUCGGUGACAUUACAACUUACCAGGGAUCCGGCAUAUGCAAGAGGCUUCUUUUCUCCUAGAUCUGUCACUGGUUUUCUGUCUGAUGUCUCUCCAUCUGCUGCUGAUGCAGUUGGAAAAAUAUACCUAAUAGCAGAUGAGAGGGUCCAAGGAGCAGUAUUUGAUUUACCCGAGGAGAUUGCAAAGGAUCUGCUUACUAUGGAACUGCCCGAAGGAAACACCUUGAGCAAAGUAACAAAGCUGCCGGUGUUGCAAGAUGAUGGCCCUGCUACCGACUCUUACGGCCGAUUCUCAAACUCGGACCGGGGUUCUAGGAACCGGCGGGGGUCGUCCAGGGGCGGUAUGGGCGGCGGCUCAAGAGGCCGUGGUAGUUGGGACUCUGAUGAAGGAUUCCGUCGCGGUGGCAGGAGCUCUAGCAGACCUGACAACGAUAUUUGGUCAGAUGAUGACUUUUCAGGUGGUGGUGCAAGGAGAUCAAACCGUUCGUCAUCCCCCGGCGGCGGCCACUCGUCCUAUGGUGGGCGUGGAGGCUCAUCAUCCUUCGGUGACAGAUCCUCCUCCUUUGGUGAACGCUCAUCGUCAUACGGUGGUCGUGGUGGCUCUUCCUUUGGAAGCAGGGACAGAAGCUUCAGUGGCGCAUGCUUCACAUGUGGGCAAUCAGGGCACAGAGCAUCAGACUGCCCAAACAAGUAG